CAGCAACAGUUAAAUUCUGGUGGCUUUGUAGGAGAUUUCAAAUUGGAUCAAGCCUCGACCCCCUUGAGUUCUGGAGAAUUCCCGGUCUUAUUCAAAAGAGUGUUCUGUGUUUGAAGAUAAGGUGCCAUUAUAUGAAACAUUUGCGAAGAGUAACCAUGCCACGCACAAAAAAUUCAGCAGAACUCAGAUUUUCAAAGAGGUCGUAUUGUUGGGUAAUCUAAGGUUGGUCUUGCUGAAAAUCUUCAAAUUCCUCUUGUUACUGUUAAUAGAAUUAUAGUGCAAUUCAAAAUCCAAGGAAAAGAAUCAACAGAUCCUCGUCCGGGCC